rnacentral:rRNA from 1 species
UUGAACGCUGGCGGCAGGCCUCACACCUGCAAGUCGAGCGGAUGAAGGGAGCUUGCUCCUGGAUUCAGCGGCGGACGGGUGAGUAAUGCCUAGGAAUCUGCCUGGUAGUGGGGGAUAACGUCCGGAAACGGGCGCUAAUACCGCAUACGUCCUGAGGGAGAAAGUGGGGGAUCUUCGGACCUAACGCUAUCUGAUGAGCCUAGGUCGGAUUAGCUAGUUGGUGGGGUAAAGGCCUACCAAGGCGACGAUCCGUAACUGGCCUGAGAGGAUGAUCAGUCACACUGGAACUGAGACACGGUCCAGACUCCUACGGGAGGCAGCAGUGGGGAAUAUUGGACAAUGGGCGGAAGCCUGAUCCAGCCAUGCCGCGUGUGUGAAGAAGGUCUUCGGAUUGUAAAGCACUUUAAGUUGGGAGGAAGGGCAGUAAGUUAAUACCUUGCUGUUUUGACGUUACCAACAGAAUAAGCACCGGCUAACUUCGUG